GUACACUCCUGCGGGAGGCAGCAGUGGGGAAUAUUGGACAAUGGGCGCAAGCCUGAUCCAGCCAUGCCGCGUGAGUGAUGAAGGCCCUAGGGUUGUAAAGCUCUUUCACCGGAGAAGAUAAUGACGGUAUCCGGAGAAGAAGCCCCGGCUAACUUCGUGCCAGCAGCCGCGGUAAUACGAAGGGGGCUAGCGUUGUUCGGAAUUACUGGGCGUAAAGCGCACGUAGGCGGAUCGAUCAGUCAGGGGUGAAAUCCCAGGGCUCAACCCUGGAACUGCCUUUGAUACUGUCGAUCUGGAGUAUGGAAGAGGUGAGUGGAAUUCCGAGUGUAGAGGUGAAAUUCGUAGAUAUUCGGAGGAACACCAGUGGCGAAGGCGGCUCACUGGUCCAUUACUGACGCUGAGGUGCGAAAGCGUGGGGAGCAAACAGGAUUAGAAACCCUAGUAGUCCCA
rnacentral:rRNA from 1 species